rnacentral:snoRNA from 1 species
CCGCUUGGAGAUGACGAACUGAUCUCCUACAUCAUCGCUGGUCUCGAUCUCGAGUACCAGCCACUCAUCUCCGUGCUCGACGCCCGAACUGCUCCAGUCUCCCUCGACGACUUAUUUGCUCAAAUGAGCAACUUCGACC